UACGAAGGGGGCUAGCGUUGCUCGGAAUCACUGGGCGUAAAGGGUGCGUAGGCGGGUCUUUAAGUCAGGGGUGAAAUCCUGGAGCUCAACUCCAGAACUGCCUUUGAUACUGAAGAUCUUGAGUUCGGGAGAGGUGAGUGGAACUGCGAGUGUAGAGGUGAAAUUCGUAGAUAUUCGCAAGAACACCAGUGGCGAAGGCGGCUCACUGGCCCGAUACCGACGCUGAGGCACGAAAGCGUGGGGAGCAAACAGGG
rnacentral:rRNA from 1 species